rnacentral:rRNA from 1 species
CUGCUGCCUUCCGUAGGAGUCUGGCCGUGUCUCAGUACCAGUGUGGGGGACCUUCCUCUCAGAACCCCUACGCAUCGUCGUCUUGGUGGUCCGUUACACCGCCAACUAACUAAUGCGACGCAUGCCCAUCCGCCACCGGAAUCAACCUUUGGCACCAACAGGAUGUCCCGUCGAUGCAUUAUGCCGUAUUAGACGGAAUUUCUCCCGAUUAUCCGGCUGUGGCAGGCAGGUUGCAUACGUGUUACUCACCCG